rnacentral:rRNA from 1 species
AGGGAAUCUUCGGCAAUGGGGGCAACCCUGACCGAGCAACGCCGCGUGAGUGAAGAAGGUUUUCGGAUCGUAAAGCUCUGUUGUAAGUCAAGAACGGGUGUGAGAGUGGAAAGUUCACACUGUGACGGUAGCUUACCAGAAAGGGACGGCUAACUACGUGCCAGCAGCCGCGGUAAUACGUAGGUCCCGAGCGUUGUCCGGAUUUAUUGGGCGUAAAGCGAGCGCAGGCGGUUUGAUAAGUCUGAAGUUAAAGGCUGUGGCUCAACCAUAGUUCGCUUUGGAAACUGUCAAACUUGAGUGCAGAAGGGGAGAGUGGAAUUCCAUGUGUAGCGGUGAAAUGCGUAGAUAUAUGGAGGAACACCGGUGGCGAAAGCGGCUCUCUGGUCUGUAACUGACACUGAGGCUCGAAAGCGUGGGGAGCGAACAGGAUUAGAUACCCUGGUAGUCCACGCCGUAAACGAUGAGUGCUAGGUGUUGGAUCCUUUCCGGGAUUCAGUGCCGCAGCUAACGCAUUAAGCACUCCGCCUGGGGAGUACGACCGCAAGGUUGAAACUCUAAAGUGAAUUGAC